rnacentral:lncRNA from 1 species
UUUGAGAGAAAAGGGGAAGGGUUUUGAAUUUUUUUUUUGAAAAAUGGUGGCUGAAAUUAUUUUUAAAUUUUUUUUUUGCUUAAAUACCAUAAAUAAAACAGUGUUGUUUAGCAACUAGGGGUCAGGUGCCAAAACGAUGUCGUUUUGGCCCCAACCCGCAACCCAACCCAUCCACCCUCAGGAUCCUCGUGUUUUUGCAGUGAAGGGGAUACUUGCGCGCGAGGUCCCUCCUCUUUUGCGCCUUAGUGCAAUCUGGUCC